GACGAACGCUGGCGGCGUGCCUAAUACAUGCAAGUAGAACGCAGUUGCGAACGGGUGAGUAACGCGUAGGUAACGGACUCAUCGCGGGGGAUAACUAUUGGAAACGAUCGCUAAUACCGCCUACUGUGAGCUGGACCUGCGUUGGAUUCGCUAGUUGGUGAGGUAAAGGCUCACCAAGCCGACGAUACAUAGCCGACCUGCGAGGGUGGUCAGCCACACUGGGACUGUGACCCGGCCCAUACUCCUACUGGCGGCAGCCGUAGGGAAUCUUCGUCAAUGGGCGGAAGUCGGACCGAGCAACGCCGCGUGAGUGAAGAAGGGUUUCGGAUCGUAAAGCUUGGUUGUUAUAGGAGCGGUAACUAACCAGAAAGGGACGGCUAACUACGUGCCAGCAGCCGCGGUAAUAC
rnacentral:rRNA from 1 species